rnacentral:precursor_RNA from 1 species
GGAGAAUUCAAUAAACUAUUAGAACUCUUAGUUAUUAACUAUAUAUUUCUUAAUCUAGUCAAAGUCGAUAUGAAUUAAAUAUGAAUAUAGAAAAUAAUAGAAUUUCAAAUCAAUAUUGAAUAUUAUAGAACACAACGAUUAAUAGAGCGAUCUAGAAUUUCAAUUUAUUUAUCACUACUACAAUUCUAAUAUUAUUAUUAUAAAAUUUUAUAUAAUAUAUUUUUAUAUAAUAUAUUUUUAUAUUUUAAUUUUUAUAUUUUAUUUCGAAUGGUUAGUUUUGAGACAUUACCCACUUUCAGUCAUAAAGGGGUAAGAUAAAGGGGUAAGUAGGAAAGGCGGAAAUUAAGACGACAAAAAGAGAAUCGACCCUUCAAGUAUUCAAAAUUACAUCGAAAAUGUGACAGGUAGAUAUAUCUACCUAGGAUAUAUAUCCAUCUAUAUUGAAUUGCAGAUACAGAAAUGGUACAAUCAUAAUCGGUUGGACCAAAUCCAAAUAUGGUUCUCCUAUAGUCCUAUAGAAAAUAGGUAAGAGAUAAAAUCAAACACUUUUUCGAGAUAGGCAUCCGGUAUCUAAUGAAUUCAACGAUUCCAGUAUAAAUGAACGAAAAAAAGAAACGACAUCACAAUGAAAUUCGAAUCUCAACGAAAAAUGAGGGGGGAUAUGGCGAAAUUGGUAGACGCUACGGACUUAAUUAGAUUGGGCCUUGGUACGGAAACCCGCCGAGUGAGAACUUUCAAAUUCAGAGAAACCCCGGAAUUAAUAAAAAGGGGCAAUCCUGAGCCAAAUCCUGUUUUAUGAAAACAAAGGUUCAUAAAAUCAAAAAAGGGAUGGGUGCAGAGACUCAAUGGAAGCUGUUCUAACAAAUGGAAUUGGCUGCGGUAGUAGAGAAGUCUUUCCUUCAAAAAUUCAGUAAGUAUUAAGUAUAAGUAUUAGUAUAAGUAUUAAGGAUGAGGUGAAGGAUAAACGUAUACGUAGUGAAUAGUAUAUUAAAUGAGUAAUGACAGCCCGAAUGAAUCUAUGUUUUUUCUAUGAAAAAACAAAGAAUUGGUGUGAAUAGAUUCUACGUUGAAGAAAGAAUCGAAUAUUCAUUGAUCAAAUGAUUCACUCCAUAGUCUGAUAAAUCUUUUCAAGAACGGAUUAAUUGGACGAGAAUAAAGAUAGAGUUCCAUUUUACAUGUCAAUGCCGGCAGCCAUGAAAUUUAUAGUUUAGAGGGAAAUCCGUCGACUUUUAAAAUUGUGAGGGUUCAAGCCCCUCUAUCCCCAAAUUAACUAAUUGACUCCCCAA